GACGAACCGUGCGAACGUUGUUCGGAAUCACUGGGCUUAAAGGGCGCGUAGGCGGCUUGUCAAGUCAGUGGUGAAAUCCUGCAGCUUAACUGUAGAAGUGCCUUUGAUACUGGCAAGCUAGAGCGAGGUAGGGGUCUGUGGAACUUCUGGUGGAGCGGUGAAAUGCGUUGAUAUCAGAAGGAACGCCGGUGGCGAAAGCGACGGACUGGACCUUUUCUGACGCUGAGGCGCGAAAGCCAGGGGAGCAAACGGG
rnacentral:rRNA from 1 species